rnacentral:rRNA from 1 species
CCUACGGGAGGCAGCAGUGGGGAAUAUUGGGCAAUGGGCGCAAGCCUGACCCAGCAACGCCGCGUGAAGGAAGAAGGCUUUCGGGUUGUAAACUUCUUUUCUGAGGGACGAAGAAAGUGACGGUACCUCCGGAAUAAGCCACGGCUAACUACGUGCCAGCAGCCGCGGUAAUACGUAGGUGGCAAGCGUUAUCCGGAUUUAUUGGGGGUAAAGGGGGUGUAGGCGGGAAAGCAAGUCAGAUGUGAAAACUCAGGGCUCAACCCUGAUCCGGCAUUUGAAACUGUUUUUCUUGAGUGCUGGAGAGGCAAGCGGAAGUCCGUGUGUAGCGGUGAAAUGCGUAGAUAUACGGAGGAACACCAGUGGCGAAGGCGGAUUGCUGGACAGUAACGGACGCUGAGGCGCGAAAGCGUGGGGAGCAAACAGGAUUAGAGACCCGUGUAGUC